AACACAUGCAAGUCGAACGAACCUUCGGGUUAGUGGCGGACGGGUGAGUAACGCGUGAGAAUCUGCCCUCAGGAGGGGGAUAACGGCUGGAAACGGCCGCUAAUACCCCAUAUGCCGCGAGGUGAAACGAAUUUCGCCUGAGGAUGAGCUCGCGUCUGAUUAGCUAGUUGGUGGGGUAAGAGCUUACCAAGGCAUCGAUCAGUAGCUGGUCUGAGAGGAUGAUCAGCCACACUGGGACUGAGACACGGCCCAGACUCCUACGGGAGGCAGCAGUGGGGAAUUUUCCGCAAUGGGCGAAAGCCUGACGGAGCAACGCCGCGUGAGGGAUGAAGGCCUCUGGGCUGUAAACCUCUUUUAUCAAGGAAGAAGAUCUGACGGUACUUGAUGAAUAAGCCACGGCUAAUUCCGUGCCAGCAGCCGCGGUAAUACGGGAGUGGCAAGCGUUAUCCGGAAUUAUUGGGCGUAAAGCGUCCGCAGGCGGUCUUUUAAGUCUGUUGUUAAAGCGUGGAGCUUAACUCCAUUUCAGCAAUGGAAACUGGGAGACUAGAGUGUGGUAGGGGCAGAGGGAAUUCCCGGUGUAGCGGUGGAAUGCGUAGAUAUCGGGAAGAACACCAGUGGCGAAGGCGCUCUGCUGGGCCAUAACUGACGCUCAUGGACGAAAGCCAGGGGAGCGAAAGGGAUUAGAUACCCCUGUAGUCCUGGCCGUAAACGAUGAACACUAGGUGUCGGGGGAAUCGACCCCCUCGGUGUCGUAGCCAACGCGUUAAGUGUUCCGCCUGGGGAGUACGCACGCAAGUGUGAAACUCAAAGGAAUUGACGGGGGCCCGCACAGCGUGCAGUAUGUGGUUUAAUUCGAUGCACGCGAGAACCUUACCAGGGUUUGACAUCCUGCGAAUCCCUUGA
rnacentral:rRNA from 1 species